rnacentral:rRNA from 1 species
CGGGCGCGAUGCCGGUCUAAGUCCCUUGGAACGGGGCGUCAUAGAGGGUGAGAAUCCCGUAUGUGACCGGUGACCAAGCCUAUAUGAAACUCCUUCGACGAGUCGAGUUGUUUGGGAAUGCAGCUCAAAAUGGGUGGUAAAUUUCAUCUAAAGCUAAAUACCGGCCAGAGACCGAUAGCGCACAAGUAGAGUGAUCGAAAGAUGAAAAGCACUUUGGAAAGAGAGUCAAAAAGUACGUGAAAUUGUUGAAAGGGAAGCGCUUGCAACCAGACCUGUCCGCGGGUGAUCAGCCGUCCUUUUGGGCGGUGCACGCACCCGCGAUCAGGCCAGCAUCGGUUCAGGCGGCCGGAUAAAGGCCUUGGGAAUGUAGCUUCUCUCGGGGAGUGUUAUAGCCCUUGGUGCAAUGCGGCCAGCCCGGACCGAGGAUCGCGCUUCGGCAAGGAUGCUGGCGUAAUGGUUGUAAGCGGCCCGUCUUGAAACACGGACCAAGGAGUCUAACAUCUAUGCGAGUGUUUGGGUGUUAAACCCAUUCGCGUAAUGAAAGUGAACGGAGGUGGGAACCCCUGAGGGCGCACCAUCGACCGAUCCAGAUGUCUUCGGAUGGAUUUGAGUACGAGCAUAGCUGUUGGGACCCGAAAGAUGGUGAACUAUGCCUGAAUAGGGUGAAGCCAGAGGAAACUCUGGUGGAGGCUCGCAGCGGUUCUGACGUGCAAAUCGAUCGUCAAAUUUAGGUAUAGGGGCGAAAGACUAAUCGAACCAUC